GACGAACGCUGGCGGCGUGCCUAAUACAUGCAAGUAGAACGCUGAAGGAGGAGCUUGCUUCUCUGGAUGAGUUGCGAACGGGUGAGUAACGCGUAGGUAACCUGCCUGGUAGCGGGGGAUAACUAUUGGAAACGAUAGCUAAUACCGCAUAGCAGUAGAUGUUGCAUGACAUUUGCUUAAAAGGUGCAAUUGCAUCACUACCAGAUGGACCUGCGUUGUAUUAGCUAGUUGGUGGGGUAACGGCUCACCAAGGCGACGAUACAUAGCCGACCUGAGAGGGUGAUCGGCCACACUGGGACUGAGACACGGCCCAGACUCCUACGGGAGGCAGCAGUAGGGAAUCUUCGGCAAUGGACGGAAGUCUGACCGAGCAAUGCCGCGUGAGUGAAGAAGGUUUUCGGAUCGUAAAGCUCUGUUGUAAGAGAAGAACGAGUGUGAGAGUGGAAAGUUCAC
rnacentral:rRNA from 1 species